ensembl:snoRNA
UAAAGCCAGUGAUGAAACAAGUUAUCCCUGUCUGAAAUUAAGUGAUGAUUUAAGGUAACCUGAGGCUCUC